rnacentral:rRNA from 1 species
AUUGAACGCUGGCGGCAGGCCUAACACAUGCAAGUCGAGCGGAUGAAGGGAGCUUGCUCCUGGAUUCAGCGGCGGACGGGUGGGUAAUGCCUAGGAAUCUGCCUGGUAGUGGGGGAUAACGUCCGGAAACGGGCGCUAAUACCGCAUACGUCCUGAGGGAGAACGUGGGGGAUCUUCGGACCUCACGCUCUCAGAUGAGCCUAGGUCGGAUUAGCUAGUUGGUGGGGUAAAGGCCUACCAAGGCGACGAUCCGUAACUGGUCUGAGAGGAUGAUCAGUCACACUAGAACUGAGACACGGUCCAGACUCCUACGGGAGGCAGCAGUGGGGAAUAUUGGACAAUGGGCGAAAGCCUGAUCCAGCCAUGCCGCGUGGGUGAAGAAGGUCUUCGGAUUGUAAAGCACUUUAAGUUGGGAGGAAGGGCAGUAAGUUAAUACCUUGCUGUUUUGACGUUACCAACAGAAUAAGCACCGGCUAACUUCGUG